UCAUUUUUGGAAAAUUUCAAUUUCCUAUAUUUUGGGUAUGCAAUGAAGUGGGGAUGUUUUUUUAGUAGUAAAUCUUCUUUCAACUAGACUCUAUCUUUUUCAUUUUUCCCUUCAUGUACGUAUACAUGUAAGCGUCUCUAUACUUGGAAACAUGUUAAUACAGUGGGCAUUGCCAUAUGCCGACGAAGAUAUUUUUGUAAGGAUAUUAGUGGCAUGUAUACAACUUGGUAUCUUCUGGGAAAUCAUACCUCAUGUUGAUUUUAUCUAAUAAUCCUAAUUUUAAAGUGCUUUUGGUUGACUAUACUGUUUACUUGAAUACAGCAAUUUCCAAUAAGCUUUCUUGUGAAGACAGUGUUUAUGAAUUUGGUUUGUUUAGUGUUUGUACUGAUGGCAUUAUUAGUUAGUUCCACCGGAUUUGUUGUUUUUAACGUCCAUUGAAUUAUAAUUGUCUGUAAAUUUUACUGUGCCUUAAUAAUCAGUGAAGGUUGCAUUUGGGUUUGGGUUGAAACGAGGAGUGCUUUAAAAUUUUUUUUUAUUUUUAAUUUUUUACAGGGAUUGAAAUUCCAUUACUUUGG
rnacentral:misc_RNA from 1 species